CAGCCGCCGCGGGAAUACGAAGGGGGCUAGCGUUGUUCGGAAUUACUGGGCGUAAAGCGCACGUAGGCGGAUCGAUCAGUCAGGGGUGAAAUCCCAGGGCUCAACCCUGGAACUGCCUUUGAUACUGUCGAUCUGGAGUAUGGAAGAGGUGAGUGGAAUUCCGAGUGUAGAGGUGAAAUUCGUAGAUAUUCGGAGGAACACCAGUGGCGAAGGCGGCUCACUGGUCCAUUACUGACGCUGAGGUGCGAAAGCGUGGGGAGCAAACAGGAUUAGAUACCCCCGUAGUCCCUGUCUCUUAUAC
rnacentral:rRNA from 1 species